rnacentral:sRNA from 1 species
AAUUUCAUGGGCCAUAGAAGAUGCUAAUGAAGCCUUUGCUGGACUCACAAGUCUCACUAAACUAAUCUUACAAGGAAACCAGAUUAAGUCAAUUACAAAGAAAGCAUUCAUUGGUCUUGAAUCCCUUGAGCAUCUAGAUUUGAACAAUAAUGCUAUAAUGUCUAUCCAAGAAAAUGCUUUUUCUCAGACUCAUUUAAAAGAACUUUACGGUGCUGUGACUCCGAUAGGAUCAGAUUCAUCAUUGGACCCCCAGACCUCUCACCCAGGACCCUAAGUGUGCACCUUUGAAGCCAUUGUCUUCACUCCUGACUGAUAGAUCGGGGAUCCAAUGGAUUCUGAACACAAGCAGUUUGCUCUGUGACUGCCAUUUGAAGUGGCUACUUCAAUGGUUGGUUGAUAAUAACUUUCAACAUUCUGUGAAUGUAAGCUGUGCACACCCUGAAUGGCUAGCAGGGCAAAGCAUCCUGAAUGUGGAUCUGAAAGAUUUUGUCUGUGGUUUGUAUUUUUGUUUUAAAAUUUUAUAUAUUACACACUUAUAAUCUUAACAGAAUUAAAAAAAUUAAA